GUGGAGCUGCUUGCAGAGGAGAACAGAGAUUAAAUUACAGGAUCUUCCUGUCGUCCUUGGAGCUUGUUGCGUCUUGCAUAAUAUAUGUGAGAUGCGAAAUGAGCAAUUGAAUCCCGAGCUGAAGUUUGAUAUUUUUGAUGAUGAAAUGAUUGCAGAAAAUGGUGUGAGGUCAGCAAAUGCAAUGCAUACCCGAAAUCAGAUUGCUCACAAGCUCUUACACCAUAAUUUCGCAGGCACGAAUGUUUUGUAGUGUUCUUGAGUUUUUGUAGUCUGUUUUAGUGAUGCAAUUCUUUCAUGGCUUGUUGUGGUCAUGUGAUAGAAUAAUUUCAGUAAAGUAAUUAUUUGAUUCAUUGUAGACAGUUUAUUUGC
rnacentral:lncRNA from 1 species